rnacentral:lncRNA from 1 species
UGGCGUUACAUCUAUUAAGUACAACGCACGUGAGAGCAGGAGCAGAGAAGGUGGAACAUUCUCUUUCAAGUGCAGAUCUAGCCACUGUCUGAGCUGUUCCUUCAGCUGCUCCUCUGAGAGACCCAAUGACCGCAUUCCUCUGGCUCUGCAUGCACUCUGCAGUUCAGACACACUUAAGCCGUUGACUCCUUCCUUGGCAAUCAGUUCAUCAUCUGUCCUGAUAGUCCUGAGCCUCAG